UGUGCAGGCGGACUGGCGUGUCGAUGGUGAAAGCUCCCGGCUUAACCGGGAAAGUGCUGUCGAAACUACCAGCCUUGAGGGCGGAAGAGGAAACUGGAACUUCCGGUGUAGCGGUAAAAUGCGUAGAUAUCGGAAGGAACGCCGAUAGCGAAGGCAGGUUUCUGGGACGUACCUGACGCUGAAACACGAAAGCUAGGGGAGCAAACAGGAUUAGAUACCCUGGUAGUCCUAGCUGUAAACGAUGUACAUUAGGCGUGGGGAUUUUCCCCGUGCCGGAGCCAACGCGUUAAAUGUACCGCCUGGGGACUACGGCCGCAAGGUUGAA
rnacentral:rRNA from 1 species